GACGAACGCUGGCGGCAUGCCUAACACAUGCAAGUCGAACGGAACUUUGAGAAUGAAGUUUUCGGAUGGAUUUUUUAAAGUUUAGUGGCGGACGGGUGAGUAACGCGUGAGCAACCUGCCUUUCAGAGGGGGACAACAGUUGGAAACGACUGCUAAUACCGCAUAAUGUAUCGAGAUCGCAUGACCUUGAUACCAAAGAUUAUAUCGCUGAAAGAUGGGCUCGCGUACGAUUAGAUAGUUGGUGAGGUAACGGCUCACCAAGUCGACGAUCGUUAGCCGGACUGAGAGGUUGAACGGCCACAUUGGGACUGAGACACGGCCCAGACUCCUACGGGAGGCAGCAGUGAGGAAUAUUGGGCAAUGGGCGCAAGCCUGACCCAGCAGUGCCGCGUGAAGGAAGACGGUUUUCGGAUUGUAAACUUCUUUUAAGAGGGACGAUAAUGACGGUACCUCUUGAAUAAGCCACGGCUAACUACGUGCCAGCCGCCGCGGUAAAAC
rnacentral:rRNA from 1 species